GAUCAUUAACAGAGUUCCUGCCCUCACGGGUAGAAACCCCCACCCUUGCGUAUUGUAUACUUGUUGCUUUGGCGGGCCGCCUAUAUAGGCUCUCUUUACCGGCUUCGGCUGGGCCGCGCCCGCCAGAGGACCCUAAAUUCUUAUAUUUAAGUGAAGUCUGAGUACUAUCUAAUAGUUAAAACUUUCAACAACGGAUCUCUUGGUUCUGGCAUCGAUGAAGAACGCAGCGAAAUGCGAUAAGUAAUGUGAAUUGCAGAAUUCAGUGAAUCAUCGAAUCUUUGAACGCAUAUUGCGCCCCUUGGUAUUCCGAGGGGCAUGCCUGUUCGAGCGUCAUUAUCGACCAUCCAGCACGGCUGGGUCUUGGGCGCCGCCCCCUGGGGCGGGCCUUAAAAUUCGUGGCGGCGCCGCUAGGCCCUGAGCGUAGUAAAUACCCUCGCUACGGGAGCCUAACGGACGCUAGCCAGCAACCCCUCAUUUAAUCAGGUUGACCUCGGAUCAGGUAGA
rnacentral:rRNA from 1 species